UGAGUAACCUGCCCUUAACUCUGGGAUAAGCCUGGGAAACUGGGUCUAAUACCGGAUAUGACUCCUCAUCGCAUGGGUGGGGGGGUGGAAAGUCUUUUUUUGUGGGUUUUUGGAUGGACUCGCGGCCUAUCAGCUUGUUGGUAAGGUAAUGGCUCACCAAGGCGACGAUGGCUAGCUGGUCUGAGAGGACGAUCAGCCACACGUGGGACUGACGACACCGGCCCAGACCUCCGACGGGAGCAG
rnacentral:rRNA from 1 species